AAUCUGCAGUACAAUGUUCUUCAGCUCAAAGAGCAGAUACCCUUUAAGAAUGCCUUUGACAAAAGAAGAGCAAAUUGAAAUUAUUCUUAUCCCUGGAUCGGGAAGCUGUCAGAAUUACACCAACACGUCGUCAUGUUUGGUUUCUGUCCAGGUGCAUUGCAAAUUAGGUAAGUGUGAUACAGCUAAAAUUCGAAAAAUAUUUUUAAAAUGUUAUAAAAAUUCUAAAAAUUUGUGCUAAAUAUAAUAGAUAAGGUCACUGAAAUCCAUCUCAUCCACUCUACAACACACUACAGAGUCAGCGGAGCUCAUUCUCCAAAAGACUCAUUCGAAUUCACUGUCACAGAGAACGUUACAGGAGUUCAUUCUUACCAUUCGCAAUAACACUGUACAACAGCUCACCUGUGUGUGACAGAUGAUAACACUUUCACAUUACACUACUACAAGAAAGCUAUCGUUUAGAAAGCUGUCAUUAUAUUCUACAUUCUCAAGGUUCUUCAUAUUCAUUAUUCACUACCAGUUUUCACAAGUGUACUUAUGUAAAUACUGAUGUAAAUCUGGUUAAAUCUACAGCUGUGUUCCAUAUCUGCACUACUACAUUUAAUUUCACUUAUUGUAUUUUAUAUUUUAUAUUGUGUCUGUGUACGUGUUGUAUCUUGCUACUGACCAUGCUGCUGUAACACAAGAAUUUCCCUCAUGGGAUCAAUAAAGUAUAUCUAUCUA